rnacentral:rRNA from 1 species
UACGUAGGCAGCAAGCGUUGUUCGGAGUUACUGGGCGUAAAGAGUGCGUAGGCGGUCCUGUAAGUUUGGUGUGAAAUCUCCCGGCUCAACUGGGAGGGUGCGCCGAAGACUGCAGGGCUUGAGUAUGGGAGAGGUAAGCGGAAUUCCUGGUGUAGCGGUGAAAUGCGUAGAUAUCAGGAGGAACACCUGUGGUGUAGACAGCUUACUGGACCAUAACUGACGCUGAGGCACGAAAAGCGUGGGUAGCAAACAG